GAAUACUACAAAAGCAAAGUUAAAACAGGGAUAAAGAGCUAUGAAGAAUACAUAUAAAGCAAAUAUACCUAAUAAUUUAAGUUGUCCCUUUAUGUCAUUUGUCAUCUGGCUGCAUCUGCUCUUAAACCUGUGCACCUGUGCUCUGUUCCUGGAAAUAUUAGGCAUGCAGCCAAUUUCAUACCCAGCCAUUCCUAUGGUCAGACUCAGCUAUCAGUGCUUUUGUAUGUAUAUGUAUAUUAAAUCAAGUAUCAACCCCCGGGCUCUGAACUACUUCUGACUGACAGAACCAACAGAAAGUUCCAGGCUAAUUACUUCUAAGGAAUAGUUCCCAGAGAAAAGAGUUUCCACUGACCUACUUUGGACUUACUGAGAUAAUUUAUCAGAAUAAAAACAGCACAUUACCAGACAUCCUCGGCAUCUUCGUCACAUUCUGCACCAAACUGGCAAAUAUCACAGGUGGAUGUCUCCUUUUGACUAGUUUCUCCAGAGCCU
rnacentral:lncRNA from 1 species